AAACAUAGUUUUAUCAAUUAUACUGAUACUGAUACUGAUACUGAUAGCUUUGUACAUAAGGUAUCACAGAGAAAAGCUUUGUAUGAAAGCUAAAUAUCAUUUAACAAGUGAACAGAUUGAGGAAGGUGGAGUAUCCCAGACGCUGAAUGGAUUCAAGAAUAUUAAGAAUUCUGCAGAGUUGGAUCCUGAAAAUGUUUGAUGUAACGUGAUGCAGUCCUGAUGUUCUACUCCUGGAUACUUUACUUGAAGGAAACUCCUACCUCGCUGGACCUCCAUACACAGCAGAGCUCUUAGUGUGACCUGUGACGUAAUUAAGUGACAGUUUGAUUCUUCACCGGUCUGUGAAUGUGCCACACUUGCCAGGUCUUUUUAAGUCUAUUAUCAUAAGAAGUUGUGCAUAAUAAUGAAAUAAGGAUCAUGUACUGUAUGUUCAGUGUUCUAUGAUGACUACGUGGCAACUUAAAAUUUCAUUGAUAACAAAAAAAAAACCAUUUCUUAUUAUAAUA